UCNGGUACUGAGACACGGACCAGACUCCUACGGGAGGCAGCAGUGAGGAAUAUUGCACAAUGGAGGAAACUCUGAUGCAGCCAUGCCGCGUGCAGGAUGACGGCCCUACGGGUUGUAAACUGCUUUUUUACAAGAAGAAA
rnacentral:rRNA from 1 species